AACGAACGCUGGCGGCAGGCCUAACACAUGCAAGUCGAGCGGACCCUUCGGGGUUAGCGGCGGACGGGUGAGUAACGCGUGGGAACGUGCCCUUUGCUUCGGAAUAGCCCUGGGAAACUGGGAGUAAUACCGGAUACGCCCUUUUGGGGAAAGAUUUAUCGGCGAAGGAUCGGCCCGCGUUGGAUUAGGUAGUUGGUGGGGUAAUGGCCUACCAAGCCGACGAUCCAUAGCUGGUUUGAGAGGAUGAUCAGCCACACUGGGACUGAGACACGGCCCAGACUCCUACGGGAGGCAGCAGUGGGGAAUCUUAGACAAUGGGGGAAACCCUGAUCGAGCCAUGCCGCGUGAGCGAUGAAGGCCGUAGGGUUGUAAAGCUCUUUCACCGGGGAAGAUAAUGACGGUACCCGGAGAAGAAGCCCCGGCUAACUCCGUG
rnacentral:rRNA from 1 species